GAGAUGUGUGAUGACGCAUAUCAAUAAGCGGAGGAAAAGAAACUAACUAGGAUUCCCUUAGUAACGGCGAGUGAAGCGGGAAGAGCUCAAAUUUGAAAUCUUCAAGGUUCUACCUUGACGAAUUGUAGUUUAUAGAAGUGUUUUCUGUUAGUAGAGUGGCAAAAGUUCUUUGGAAUAGGACAUCAUAGAGGGUGAGAAUCCCGUAUUUGGUCAUUCUUUCUAGCUUUGUGAUACACUUUCAACGAGUCGGAUUGUUUGGGAAUGUAGUCCAAAAUGGGUGGUAAAUUUCAUCUAAAGCUAAAUAUUGGCGAGAGACCGAUAGCGAACAAGUACCGUGAGGGGAAGAUGAAAAGAACUUUGAAAAGAGAGUUAAACAGUACGUGAAAUUGUCAAAAGGGAAGCGUUUGACACCAGUGUUGUUUUUCCGAAAAUCAAUUACGAAUGUUUUGUUUUUGAGAAGUUAUGACUUCAUCAGCUUGCUUCUCUCUUUACGAAACUUUCUUAAUGCACUUUUCGGUUAACAAGUCAACAUCAAUUUCUUUUGUUGUAAAAGGGUAUGAGGAAGGUGGCUUUCUUUUCGGAGAAAGUGUUUAUAGCCUUGUACCUCUGCAAUCGGAGAGAUUGAGGUCUGCAGCGUAGAUCCUUCGGGGUUAGAUACAUUUGUGCUAAGUUAUAGCUUUUCAUAGACAACUUGUUGACUAUGUUAAGUCUUGUAGCUUACUCGCUUAUGCUAUUUUACCUACGCUUAGGAUGUUGAUCUGUAGUGCGUGCGC
rnacentral:rRNA from 1 species